rnacentral:rRNA from 1 species
GUGCCAGCCGCCGCGGUAAAACGUAGGAGCCUAGCGUUAUCCGAAUUCACUGGGCGUAAAGCGCGUGCAGGCGGCCAGAUAAGUUGGAUGUGAAAUCUCCCGGCUCAACUGGGAGAGGCCGUUCAAAACUAUCUAGCUCGAGGGCGAUAGAGGGAGGUGGAAUUCCCGGUGUAGUGGUGAAAUGCGUAGAUAUCGGGAGGAACACCAGUGGCGAAAGCGGCCUCCUGGAUCGUACCUGACGCUGAGAUGCGAAAGCUAGGGGAGCAAACGGGAUUAGAUACCCCCGUAGUCC